UAGCAUAUCAUAAGCGGAGGAAAAGAAACCAACAGGGAUUGCCCUAGUAACGGCGAGUGAAGCGGCAACAGCUCAAAUUUGAAAGCUAGCCUUCGGGUUCGCAUUGUAAUUUGUAGAGGAUGAUUUGGGGAAGCCGCCUGUCUAAGUUCCUUGGAACAGGACGUCAUAGAGGGUGAGAAUCCCGUAUGUGACAGGAAAUGGCACCCCAUGUAAAUCUCCUUCGACGAGUCGAGUUGUUUGGGAAUGCAGCUCUAAAUGGGAGGUAAAUUUCUUCUAAAGCUAAAUAUUGGCGAGAGACCGAUAGCGCACAAGUAGAGUGAUCGAAAGAUGAAAAGCACUUUGGAAAGAGAGUUAAAAAGCACGUGAAAUUGUUGAAAGGGAAGCGCUUGCAAUCAGACUUGUCUAAACUGUUCGGCCGGUCUUCUGACCGGUUUACUCAGUUUGGACAGGCCAGCAUCAGUUUCGGCGGCCGGAUAAAGGCUCUGGGAAUGUGGCCUCCACUUCGGUGGAGGUGUUAUAGCCCGGGGUGUAAUACGGCCAGCCGGGACUGAGGUCCGCGCUUCGGCUAGGAUGCUGGCGUAAUGGUUGUAAGCGACCCGUCUUGAAACACGGACCAAGGAGUCUAACAUCUAUGCGAGUGUUCGGGUGUCAAACCCCUGCGCGUAAUGAAAGUGAACGGAGGUGGGAACCGCAAGGUGCACCAUCGACCGAUCCUGAUGUCUUCGGAUGGAUUUGAGUAAGAGCAUAGCUGUUGGGACCCGAAAGAUGGUGAACUAUGCCUGAAUAGGGUGAAGCCAGAGGAAACUCUGGUGGAGGCUCGCAGCGGUUCUGACGUGCAAAUCGAUCGUCAAAUUUGGGUAUAGGGGCGAAAGACUAAUCGAACCAUCUAGUAGCUGGUUCCUGCCG
rnacentral:rRNA from 1 species